CCUACGGGAGGCAGCAGUGGGGAAUAUUGCGCAAUGGGGGAAACCCUGACGCAGCAACGCCGCGUGAGUGAGGAAGGACUUCGGUCUGUAAAGCUCUGUUAAUGUGGAAAAAUGGUAGUUGGUCUAAUAGGCCGAUUAUUUGAUGGUACACAUAGAGGAAGCACCGGCUAACUUCGUGCCAGCAGCCGCGGUAAUACGAAGGGUGCAAGCGUUGUUCGGAUUUAUUGGGCGUAAAGCGCGCGUAGGCGGACCUGUAAGUCAGAUGUGAAAUCUCGGGGCUCAACCUCGAAACUGCGUCUGAAACUGCAGGUCUAGAAUCUCGGAGGGGGAAGGGGAAUUUCGCAUGUAGGGGUAAAAUCCGUAGACAUGCGAAGGAACACCAGAGGCGAAGGCGCCUUCCUGGACGAGUAUUGACGCUGAGGCGCGAAAGCGUGGGGAUCAAACAGGAUUAGAUACCCUGGUAGUCCACGCUGUAAACUAUGAACACUAGGUAUUGGAGGAUUUGACCCCCUUNAGUGCCGUAGCUAACGCGUUAAGUGUUCCGCGUGGGAAGUACGGUCGCAAGACUAAAACUAAUGAUAGAGNGNGAGACGNGCGAGACGACGACGAGGGAGGAGG
rnacentral:rRNA from 1 species